UUUGGGUAGCCCCAAAAAUAUUGGGACAUAUAAAAAAAAGACAAUUCUGUUCCGCAGAGUAGCUGUUGCGCAGGAACUUUGUUGACUCUAGAGAACCUCUGGCAAAUUGCACAUCCCCGUGGCGGCGACUUUGCAUGCAGAUGUCAUCCAUAUCAACUUUCGAUGCCAGUUUCUGCUCCUACCUUGUUGACCAUGGGUAACGGGGAAUCAGUGUUCCAUUCCAUACAGGGACCUUGAAAAAUGGCUAACACAUGCAAGGAAGGCAGCAGGCGCGCAAAUGACCCACUCCCGACGCGGGAAGGUAGUGAUG